rnacentral:rRNA from 1 species
GGGGGGAGCAAACGUUGUUCGGAAUUACUGGGCGUAAAGGGCGCGUAGGCGGCCCCGCAAGUGGUGUGUGAAAUGCCCUGGCUCAACCAGGGAACGGCGCACCAAACUGCGGAGCUUGAGGACAGUAGAGGAAGCUGGAAUUCCUGGUGUAGCGGUGAAAUGCGUAGAUAUCAGGAGGAACACCGUUGGCGAAGGCGAGCUUCUGGGCUGAUCCUGACGCUGAGGCGCGAAAGCUGGGGGAGCAAACAGGAUUAGAUACCCUGGUAGUCCCAGCCGUAAACGGUGAACACUAGGUGUGGGGGGGUGCCGACCCUUUCCGUGCCCGUAGCUAACGCAUUAAGUGUUCCGCCUGGGGAAGUACGGUCGCAAGGCUG